GUCCUAACGGUAUCGAGGACGAGUGCGCGUAAUUGAUUAGUUUUAUAAUGAGGAAAGUAUGAAAUAUUCCGAUAUCGUUUUUCCAACUAUUCGAAUCUAUCGAAUGAAUUUUCUCUCGUGUUGUUAUCCUCUUUCUUUUACCGAGGGUGAAACGUGUGCUAGAAUCUCACCAAUUCGCAUGUACCGACUAAUCUAAGUUACUCGGAGAUUUUGCUUUAGUUAUGUACACGCACGCACGCACGCACUCAUGAAAAUACAUACAUACAUACAUACAUACACACAUACAUACAUAUACCGGUUACGCAGGUUAACGUGUCACUCGGAUGCCCCAUUACUAUGGAAUAUGUCAUAUCGCUGAAUGAAUUCUCGAUAAUGAAAAAGAUUUGUUGUUGAAGAAAAAAAUAA
rnacentral:lncRNA from 1 species